rfam:Gossypium raimondii Chr08_contig_435, whole genome shotgun sequence.
CACCAUUGGCAUCUACCGAUUGAAUGGUCUGGUGAAGUGUUCACAUCGUGGUGACGUGGGCGGUUCUCUGCCCGCGAUGUCACGAGAAGUGCACAGAACCUUAUCAUUUAGAUGAAGGAGAAGUCGUAACAAGGUUUCCGUAGGUGAACCUGCGGAAG